AUAAUCCCUGUAGUGGAGGUUCUGUGUACUAGCCUAAGAGAGGGGGCAUAGAAUCAGAUAUUUUUAUUAUAUUCUUACCUAGAUCGGAGAGACGUGUGAAGUGUAUCUCUAGAGGUAAAGAUUUGAGUGCACUUCACGUGGACCAUCGCGUGAGAGUGAGACUCAGCCAACGCCAAGGCAUGGCUAGAAUUUCGGAUGUAAAGACAUUUAACCGCCUUGGUGGUCUCGGUCAGAUGCCUAGGCCAAGGUAUCCCCA
rnacentral:lncRNA from 1 species